rnacentral:misc_RNA from 1 species
GAAAUGCGAUAAGUAAUGUGAAUUGCAGAAUUCAGUGAAUCAUCGAAUCUUUGAACGCACCUUGCGCUCCUUGGUAUUCCUUGGAGCAUGCCUGUUUGAGUAUCAUGAAAUCUUCAAAGUAAAUCUUUUGUUAACUCAAUUGGUUUCUACUUUGGUAUUGGAGGUCUUUGCAGCUUCACACCUGCUCCUCUUUGUUCAUUAGCUGGAUCUCUGUGUUAUGCUUGGUUCCACUCGGCGUGAUAAGUUAUCUAUCGCUGAGGACACUGUAAAAGGUGGCCAAGGUAAAUGCAGAUGAACCGCUUCUAAUAGUCCAUUGACUUGGACAAUACUUUUAUGAUCUGAUCUCAAAUCAGGUAGGACUACCCGCUGAACUUAAGC